AUGGAGCCGCUUCUUCUGCUCACCGUUCUCCUCCUUGCGCACGCGGUGGCGUACCUGGUGUGCACGGCCGUCGCCCGUCGGCGGCGCUCGCGGUGCUACUAGGUGGACUACGUGUGCCAUAAGCCGUCUGACGACCGCAAGGUGAGCACAGAGACCGCCGGCAGUGUGGUCCUGCGUAACAAGCGCCUGAGCCUCCCGGAGUACCGUUUCCUCCUCCGCGUCAUCGUCCGCUCUGGCAUGGGCGAGGAGAGCUACUGCCCGCGCAACAUCCUCGAGUGCCGCGAGGACGCGCCCACCCACCAGGACGCGCUGGACGAGAUGGAUGCCUUCUUCGACGACGCCAUCGCCGAGCUCUUCCGCAGGAGCGGCUUCUGCCCCCGCGACGUCGACGUGCUCGUCGUCAACGUAUGCAUGUUCUCCCCGGCGCCGUCGCUCGCCUCCAGGAUCGUGCACCGCUUCGGCAUGCGCGAGGACGUCGCCGCCUACAACCUCUCCGGCAUGGGGUGCAGCGCCGGCCUGGUCUCGCUGGACCUCGCGCGCAACGUGCUGCAGACGCGGCCCACGUCGCUGGCUCUCGUGGUCUCGUCCGAGUCCAUCGCCCCCAACUGGUACGUCGGCGCCGACAGGUCCAUGAUGCUGGGCAACUGCCUCUUCCGCUGCGGAGGCUCCGCCGUGCUGCUCACCAACGACCCGUCGCUCCGCGGGCGUGCAAAGAUGGUGCUCCGCCAUCUCGUGCGCACAAACACCGCCGCCGACGAUGAGGCGCACACGUGCGCGCUGCAGCGCGAGGACGGCGACGGGCGCGUCGGGAUCAGCCUCAGCAAGGCUUUGCCCAAGGCCGCCGUCCGGGCCUUGACCCUGAACCUGCGGAGCCUCGUCCCGCGCGUGCUCCCCGUGUCCGAGCUCCUGCGGUUCGCUGCCCGCCACACAUACAAGAAGCUUCUAUACCGCAUGAAUGUGAAGGCAGACAAUCGUCCUUUUCCCAUGAUCAACUUUAAGACCGGCGUGGAGCACUUCUGCGUCCAUCCCGGCGGCGCCAAGGUCAUCGAGGCAGUGAAGGACAGCCUCGGUCUUGACGCCGACGACGUGGAGCCUUCGCAGAUGACGCUGUACUGGUGGGGGAACACGUCGGCGAGCAGCCUGUGGUACGUUCUGUCGUACAUGGAGGCCAAGGGGAGGCUAAAGAGAGGGGACAGUGCGCUCAUGCUCACCUUCGGGUCGGGAUUCAAGUGCAACAGUUGCCUCUGGGAGGUGACCGGUGACAUGGCCGACAAGGGCGCUUGGGCAGACUGCAUCGAUGAAUACCCGCCGGAGAGCAGCACGAACCCCUACUUGGACAAGUACAACUGGGUUAACGAAGUCCAAGGUGACACCGCGGUGUUUUAG
rnacentral:rRNA from 1 species